AUUGAACGCUGGCGGCAUGCCUUACACAUGCAAGUCGAACGGCAGCAUAGGAGCUUGCUCCUGAUGGCGAGUGGCGAACGGGUGAGUAAUAUAUCGGAACGUGCCCUAGAGUGGGGGAUAACUAGUCGAAAGACUAGCUAAUACCGCAUACGAUCUACGGAUGAAAGUGGGGGAUCGCAAGACCUCAUGCUCCUGGAGCGGCAGAUAGCUGAUUAGCUAGUUGGUGGGGUAAAAGCCUACCAAGGCGACGAUCAGUAGCUGGUCUGAGAGGACGACCAGCCACACUGGGACUGAGAAACGGCCCAGACUCCUACGGGAGGCAGCAGUGGGGAAUUUUGGACAAUGGGGGCAACCCUGAUCCAGCAAUGCCGCGUGAGUGAAGAAGGCCUUCGGGUUGUAAAGCUCUUUUGUCAGGGAAGAAACGGUAGUAGCUAAUAUCUAUUACUAAUGACGGUACCUGAAGAAUAAGCACCGGCUAACUACGUGCCAGCAGCCGCAGUAACAC
rnacentral:rRNA from 1 species